AUGGACGUUGCGCAGGAAGCGCCUAGGAACGAAUAGGGAUACGCUGGAUUUCCAUCAGGACGAUGGACGAUUACGGACGUCAGGACACAGUCUGCAAAGCCCCGCCUCGGCGGGGUUUU
rnacentral:sRNA from 3 species